GGCACCAUGGCCUAAUGGUAAGGCGUUGCUUUCCGGUUUUCGGACCCCGAAAUCGUAUGGCAAAGACUAUGGGUUCGAGUCCCAUUGGUGUCG